rnacentral:rRNA from 1 species
AGCAACUAUACGGUGAAACUGCGAAUGGCUCAUUAAAUCAGUUAUCGUUUAUUUGAUAGUACUUCACUACAUGGACAACUGUGGUAAUUCUAGAGCUAAUACAUGCUAAAAACCCCGACUUCGGAAGGGGUGUAUUUAUUAGAUAAAAAACCAAUGCCCUCCGGGGCUCCUUGGUGAAUCAUAAUAACUUCACGAAUCGCAUGGCCUUGCGCCGGCGAUGGUUCAUUCAAAUUUCUGCCCUAUCAACUUUCGAUGGUAGGAUAGUGGCCUACCAUGGUCUCAACGGGUAACGGGGAAUUAGGGUUCGACUCCGGAGAGGGAGCCUGAGAAACGGCUACCACAUCCAAGGAAGGCAGCAGGCGCGCAAAUUACCCAAUCCCGACACGGGGAGGUAGUGACAAUAAAUACUGAUACAGGGCUCUUUCGGGUCUUGUAAUUGGAAUGAGUACAAUUUAAAUCCCUUAACGAGGAACAAUUGGAGGGCAAGUCUGGUGCCAGCAGCCGCGGUAAUUCCAGCUCCAAUAGCGUAUAUUAAAGUUGUUGCAGUUAAAAAGCUCGUAGUUGAACCUUGGGCCUGGCUGGCCGGUCCGCCUCACCGCGUGUACUGGUCCGGCCGGGCCUUUCCUUCUGGGGAACCGCAUGGCCUUCACUGGCCGUGCCGGGGAACCAGGACUUUUACUUUGAAAAAAUUAGAGUGUUCAAAGCAGGCCUUUGCUCGAAUACAUUAGCAUGGAAUAAUAGAAUAGGACGUGCGGUUCUAUUUUGUUGGUUUCUAGGACCGCCGUAAUGAUUAAUAGGGACAGUCGGGGGCAUCCGUAUUCAAUUGUCAGAGGUGAAAUUCUUGGAUUUAUUGAAGACGAACUACUGCGAAAGCAUUUGCCAAGGAUGUUUUCAUUAAUCAGUGAACGAAAGUUAGGGGAUCGAAGACGAUCAGAUACCGUCGUAGUCUUAACCAUAAACUAUGCCGACUAGGGAUCGGUGGGUGUUAUUAUUUUGACCCCAUCGGCACCUUACGAGAAAUCAAAG